GCUGGGCGUAGUGGCACACGCCUGUAAUCCCAAAGGCUCAGGAGGCUGAGGCAGGAGGAUUAUGAGUUCAAAGGCAGCCUCAGCCACUUAGCAAGGUCCUAAGAAACUCAGUGAGACCCUGUCUCAU
rnacentral:sRNA from 1 species